CCACUGCUGAGGAGUCUCAUAGUAAGACGAAACGGCCGUCCAGUGC
rfam:Schistosoma haematobium scaffold660_30, whole genome shotgun sequence.